rnacentral:rRNA from 1 species
CCUACGGGAGGCAGCAGUGGGGAAUAUUGGACAAUGGGGGGAACUCUGACCCAGCGACGCCGCGUGAGUGAAGAAGUAUUUCGGUAUGUAAAGCUCUAUCAGCAGGGAAGAAAAUGACGGUACGUGACUAAGAAUCCCCGGCUAAAUACGUGCCAGCAGCCGCGGUAAUACGUAGGGGGCAAGCGUUAUCCGGAUUUACUGGGGGUAAAGGGAGCGUAGACGGUGCAGCAAGUCUGAUGUGAAAGGUCGGGGGCCAACCCCGGGACUGCAUUGGAAACUGUUGAACUGGAGUGCAGGAGAGGUAAGCGGAAUUCCUAGUGUAGCGGUGAAAUGCGUAGAUAUUAGGAGGAACACCAGUGGCGAAGGCGGCUUACUGGACUGUAACUGACGUUGAGGCUCGAAAGCGUGGGGAGCAAACAGGAUUAGAUACCCCAGUAGUC